rnacentral:tRNA from 1 species
AGAGCAGAAGCUUCCCAAGCUUAAGACGAGGGUUCGAUUCCCUUCACCCGCUCCA